CUGAGAAACUGCCCUCUGGGUAGACCUCACACCCUUGAAUAUCAUACUUUGUUGCUUUGGCGGGCCACUAGGCCUUGCGCCUAGUACCGGCUUCGGCUGGCCAGCGCCCGCCAGAGGACCCAAACUCUGAAAUUAUAGUGUGUCAGAUAAACAUUAAAUUAUUUA
rnacentral:misc_RNA from 1 species